UACAGAGGUGGCAAGCGUUGUUCGGAAUUACUGGGCGUAAAGGGCGCGUAGGCGGUCUUCUAAGUCUUGUGUGAAAUCCCUCGGCUCAACUGAGGAACUGCACGGGAUACUGGGAAGACUUGAGUUCGGGAGAGGGAAGCGGAAUUCCGGGUGUAGCGGUGAAAUGCGUAGAUAUCCGGAGGAACACCGGUGGCGAGGGCGGCUUCCUGGACCGUCACUGACGCUGAGGCGCGAAAGCUAGGGGAGCAAACGGG
rnacentral:rRNA from 1 species